rnacentral:rRNA from 1 species
UGGGAAGGCCGGCCAGAGACGGUGAGAGCCCGGUAUCCGAAACGCGCGCACGAGGGUGGAAACAGACCCCGAGUACUGCGGGACACGAGGAAUCCCGUAGGAAUCUGGGAGGACCACCUCCUAAGGCUAAAUACUCCUUGGCGACCGAUAGUGAACGAGUACCGUGAGGGAAAGGUGAAAAGAACCCUGAAUAAGGGAGUGAAAUAGAACCUGAAACCAUACGCUUACAA